rnacentral:lncRNA from 1 species
CUCUGCGCAGAAGGAAUUCAGCGAGAGGCAAAGUGAUAGGCAAGAAAUAGAGUUACUAGGACAGGACGCUUGUGAGAGAUGCAAGCAGGCAGGCAAGGAAGCUCGGCCCCAAGGAUCCAGUGGGCUCCAGUUUUUAUCCUCCAAGGGGAGUGGGGGCUGGAAAAGACCGCCUCCUCCUUUCUGGGAGUACUAGCUCCUCCUCGGUAUCCACAAAGAUCUGUUCUCAAAUCCGCAGAAGGGUGGUCCUCAAACUCUUGCCCUUGGUCUGAGUAUGAAUGCAGCCCUCCGCUCAUCCCCCACCCAAUAAUCUGAGGCAAUUCUCAUGCCUCCUCUAGUCAAGCAAGGCUGCCUUGUGCUGAUGGCUUUUUUGAGCAAUUUAUUAACUUAUGGUGAGCUCCCAAUGUCCCCUAAGUUUCCCUCAUUAUCUGUGGUCCUUUAUUGGGACUUUUAAAACUCCAACUCUAUCAGUUGGACUUUAUACUUCUACAAGGCAUUUGUCAAACUCUGCUCCCUAAGGUUAUUGACUCCCAGGUACAUCCUGUUCUCUGCAAAAGAGCUGCAAUUACCUGCAAGCAGACCUCAAAAUAUAAUUGCAUGUGACGGAAGUUAGAAGCAAGGAUAAUAGGCGGGGAGGGAUGGUAUCAGAAAUAGUAAAAGCCAUCGGAAGGAAUGUGGGUAUAGCACUUGACAUUUGUCUGCUAAACUUGAACUAGAAUCCAAAAAGAGAGUUUCAAGACAUGGUAGAUUUUUCUAAAAGCUCUUGAGAGUUUAAGGUGAACUGUGAAAAACUGAUUAUUUAUUAGUUUUAAUCACAAGAGCAUGCUUAAAGUUAGGCUUGAUUAUAUGACAAUAUCAUAUAAGGAUCUUGGACUUUAUAUUUUAGGCAGUAAGAAGCCUUGAAUGGUUUUAAGAAGGAGUGGAACAAAGUCAUACAGAUAAUUAUUUCAGUGAGGGCAAUGUAGGAACAGGCUAGAGGAUGUUCAAAUGAAGCCUAGUUUACCAUUUUGGAAGUUGAUGCAAAAGUUCAAGUAGGAGAUAACAGUGGUUUAAGGUAAGUAGGAAUGGACAGAAGUUGCCUUUUUUAUUUAAGAAAUACUUAAGAGCAAAUAAAUAGAGACUUAACAGUUCCAUGAAGAAAAAUAGUCACGGAUGGCUACAGGUUUCUGUAUUUGGUUACUGAGUUAACAGAGGAAUAUGACCAUGCAGAAAAUAGUCUCUUUCAGAAUUAACAGGAUGUAUAACAAGUGUUUCUGGAACAUUCCUAUUGAGCUAUCUAUUAGGCAGUUGAAUAUAAGUCUGAAGUUUCAAAGGAAGAUCGGGAUACCAGAUAAGAAUGUGUACUCAUUAUUUUAUCAUGUUUACCAUAGUAUAAGAAGUUUCAGGAAAAGUUUGUAGAGUCAGAAAAGAAGUAAGCCAUUGAACCUGAAUAAUAGAAUACUUAGAGAAUAACGAAGCUAUAUCAGAUGUUAAUUGACCACCUCUUUCAGGCUAGAUAGUAUAAUUUAACUGAUCUGUGGUUUAACUGCCUGGUCCCUUUAUUGUAAUCUCUAUUCAAAUGACAAUUAGAGAUGCCUUUCUUAACCACUUCAUCUAAAAUAUCUGUCCUCUACUUUACCACCUCCAACUCUAUUUUUUUUUUUUCCUAUCUGCUUACCUUCUUUUAUUUCAUAGUACACACAACUAGCUGGCAUUGUAUUACAUGUUCAUGGGUAUAUUUAUUUUGUAUUUUAUUCAGGAGAAUUAUAGUCCUGUGAAGACCAAGUCCCCCAACACACACCAAAAUACAUCGUUUUUAGGACACUACCUGAAACGUAAAGAAGACUCAUUCAUUUUAAAUGCAUAAACGAAUGAUGAUACAUACAGUCAUAACCUUAAGGGGAGGUUAUUUUAUUGACUCUGUUUCCAUGGUAAACAACAAUAUUUGUUGAAUUUAGUCCCCAUUUAGUUCCCCUUGUAUAAUACAAAUCUAUUUAAAAAAAUAAGCUAAGAUUGAUUUUUGAAGUCGUAAUACAAAUUCUUGAAUUAUUCUCAAGAAGCCAGAACUACAGUUUUAGUCCCAGUGAAUAAAAUGCUGUCUUCUCUAACCUUUGUAUAAUUAGACUGUAUUCCUAAGCCAAGCUAGUCAUAGCAAAGAUUCCUCAAGCAUUUAUUUGGUAAUUAAUUUGUGUCCAGAUUCCACACUCAUUUUAGUUUAGCAAUGAUGUGCUUGGGAUUAAAGUAUUGAUAGAUCACCUCAACCUGAAAAGCAUUCACUCUAUCAUGGUAAAUUAAUAUAUUUCUACAUAGUGUUAAGGUGCUGCUAGAUCAAAGAAAGUACAGACAUUCUCAAAGGGUUGGAUCCUUAUCAGUCUCACCUUGAGGCACAUACCUUAGGGACGAUGUGUAAAUUAUGGCACAUACCUUAGGGACUAUGUGUAAAUUAUUUUGUAAUUAUUAUGCACACACACACUCAAAUAGAUCUGAAGCAUGUUUAGACUCUUGGUAUAGUUCAUAAUUUUCUUUUUAUCUUCCCAGCAUUCAUUUCCUUUUUAAAACAUAAUGCUAUCUCCAUAUUCCUCCUUGGGUUGUUACACCUGUCAGCCUUUGCAUGCGCCCUCACAAAUAAGGUCAUGCGCGCACUUGCCUUUGAUAAUCAUAUAGCUGUCUCGUCCCAGAACUUGAAUGUUGAACGGAAAAAUAUUUGAACUAAAGUAUCGGAAACUGAUGCAAUUCGGGUUAUCCUGAUGAGACUGCCAUUAUUUUCUCCUCACAUGACACUAGACGCUUUUUUGGAUCUUGUCCUUCUCGGUCUUUAGCCCUCCCUGGGAGUCUGGAAGCUACUGCAUCUCUUUAUAAUAAACUCAUGUUAUGUUUAAUUAACCCAGAGCUUGUUUCCUCUGCUUAUACAGUCAGAGAACAACAAGAAAGGCAAAGGCCCUAUAUAUGAUUCUUUUAGUGCCUACAACUUGAAUCAUGUGUAUAUGAUCUGGUAGGAGAAAGGAAAUAAUAAAAAGUGUAGUGUCAUGGCAUUCCCUAAAAUCUAUGUAUGACUUUCUGGAAUUUGAACUGUUAAUGGGCUUUACAAAUAUUCAGUUAUCCAGAGGUAGCCAGCAGACUUGCCCUUGGUGAUUUGAGGCGCCAUGAAUGAUAACUUCACAUGUAGUAAGAGUUUCUUUUUCUAAGUUCAGCCGAAGUCCUUCAUUGUACGCAAGCCUGUUAUUAGAUCUUCACAUGUGACAAACGGCUUUCUCUUAGCCUCUCUUUUCCUCUCCACUGUCCAUCAUCCUUGCCUUGGAGACCAGGCUCUUCUCCUUUGAAUGCAUUAGUCAUUCAUGAAUAAUGACAUAAAAGCUGAGCUCUGCUCUGGAAAGAGCGUCUUUUAUUAUACUUUUCUAACGACCAUUCAUAUCUAUAACACUCAGCGGUUUUCUAAUUUUCUUUUAUAAAAGGAUGAGCUGUAACUACAUCACAAAAUGACAUGGGGUCCAAAAUUAUUACCAGCUUCAUUAGUGAGGCUAAGAGAGGAAAAAAUAGAAAAAUGUGCUAUACUAUUAUCAGACAUGAGAAACCUUUGAUUAAGAAAACUAUAAAACAGCGUUUUGGAGGUGAAGGGGAUUACUGAAUGUAUAAACAUUAAUCAUAACAGAAAAACAUACCAUAAAAAAAGGAUUUAUUUUUCUAUCUAAACCUUUUGGGGAUUCUUUAAGAAAUUAAAAACUUUAAAUUUAUCUUAGCUAAAAUUUUGAAGUUAGUGUAUUAACAAAGUUAUGCAUUUUCAAAAUAUUCUCAACAAAGUAUUGUCCAAGAAAAAAUAUGAAAUAAAAAUUACUGGUUAAGGAGUUCCUGUCCUAUCUCAGUGAUAAUGAACCCAACUAGUAACCAUGAGGACGGUAGGUUGAUCCACUGGGUUAAGGAUCAGCAUUGCUGUGAGCGGUGGUGUAGGUCACAGAAAGGUCUCAGAUCUGGCAUUGCCGUGGCUGUCGCAUAGGCUCGCCCCCAGCCUGGGAACUUCCAUAGGCCAUGGGUGCAGCCCUAAAAGACCGAGAAAAAAAUUACUGGUUAAUUAAAAAAUAUUUUCGUAUUUAUAUUUGUGAAUAAUUUCAGCAAGACUAUUAAGAAACAUAAUAUUAUUUAAAUCUAAAUGAGAGUCUAUCACAAUUAAAAAAGUGAUCAGAAUUGAGGUGUUAUAUAUAGAGUGAUAUGUAGCAUAAUUAGGAUUAUUUUAUCUAUAUGUUGCUGUUUUUCUUAAAUUUUGGAAAAAUAGAAAAUUCAAAUACAACACAAACUUUUUCAUGUUUCUCUUAGAUAUUUUUUAGUAAAGUUACAUUGGGAUAAAAUCUUUUUAGACUGGAAUAAAAUCUAGAUUUAAAAGCUAAUUUGCAUAGCAUAAGUUCACCACAGUAUAAGAUAUUUUACUUUGUUUUUGUUUUUUUCCUAAUUGAAUAUAUAUCUUCCAAAAGAGCCAGGGCAAUACCAUUAAUAAACUUCUUUCAGACUUUUCCAUUCAAGUAUCUCUUAUAUCUCCUUUAGUUACAUUAGUGCUUGCUAGGUAAAUCCCAAACUUUGGUUUUCAUUGUGAAUUCCAGCUACUUUUUGGAUCUUUACAUAGAAGAAUUUUUAAUCCAUUUACAAGAGGAAAUGGAGACAUAGGUAGUUACAGAGUGACCUGCAUUAUAAGUACAGUAUGUCAGUGUAAUAAGCACUGAUUGAAUUCUCUUUAUGACUUUCUUAGAGUAGCCCUGAGUAUGCUUAGAGAAUGCAAAAGCGUAUGAGGAAAAGGAUUUGCCCACCUAGACUUUUACAUUUAGA